GAAUGAGCCGUCUUGAACUUUCAGCCCUGCUAAACCCCCAGGUGAUUGUACCCCACCUUGCUGACAUCACACAGAUCAGAACCACCCAACUGAACCCGGUCAAACCAUGGAAACAUAAACAGCAGUAAAAUAAUUGUUUUGAACCACUAAGCUUUGAGGUGGUGUUAUUAUGCAGCAGUAGUUAACAGAAACAUCUUCCCAGCAAUGUCUUUGCUAAGCAAGUUUUUGGCAAAUUGCCACUGCAGCUACUUCCUCUGUUUACUGUUAACUGCAACAGUGAGAGCUCAGAAAUUCCCAGACUGUUUUGAUGAUAAGGUCCAAGAACUUGCUAUGUGAUCCAUCACUACUAGACUCCCACAACUGCAUUAGAUUUGUUCAAGAUUUUCAUAUAAUUUUCAUAACUGGCUGAGGAACUGAAUCUUCAGUCACGUUGAUUUUGGACUUCCCAGCCUCCAG